GUGCUGGUGGCUCAGUGGUAGAAUCCUUACCUUCCAUGUGGGAGACCUGGAUUCCAAUCCCAGCCAAUGCA
rnacentral:tRNA from 1 species